rnacentral:rRNA from 1 species
AGCGUGGGGAGCAAACAGGAUAGAUUACCCUUGGUAGUCCACGCCGUAAAACGAUGAAUACUAGGUGUGGGGGUUUCAACACCUCCGUGCUGCCGCUAACGCAUUAAGUAUUCCGCCUGGGGAGUACGGUCGCAAGAUUAAAACUCAAAGGAAUUGACGGGGACCCGCACAAGUAGCGGAGCAUGUGGUUUAAUUCGAAGCAACGCGAAGAACCUUACCUACACUUGACAUCCCUUGCAUUACUCUUAAUCGAGGAAAUCCCUUCGGGGACAAGGUGACAGGUGGUGCAUGGUUGUCGUCAGCUCGUGUCGUGAGAUGUUGGGUUAAGUCCCGCAACGAGCGCAACCCUUGUCGUUAGUUACUACCAUUAAGUUGAGGACUCUAGCGAGACUGCCUGGGUUAACCAGGAGGAAGGUGGGGAUGACGUCAAAUCAUCAUGCCCCUUAUGUGUAGGGCUACACACGUGCUACAAUGGUUGGUACAGAGAGAUGCAAUACCGCGAGGUGGAGCCAAACUUAAAAACCAGUCUCAGUUCGGAUUGUAGGCUGAAACUCGCCUACAUGAAGCUGGAGUUACUAGUAAUCGCGAAUCAGAAUGUCGCGGUGAAUACGUUCCCGGGUCUUGUUCACACCGCCCGUCACACCAUGAGAGUUGGCAAUACCCGAAGUCCGUGAGCUAACCGCAAGGAGGCAGCGGCCGAAGGUAGGGUCAG